AUUGAACGCUGGCGGCAGGCCUAACACAUGCAAGUCGAGCGGUAGAGAGAAGCUUGCUUCUCUUGAGAGCGGCGGACGGGUGAGUAAUGCCUAGGAAUCUGCCUGGUAGUGGGGGAUAACGUUCGGAAACGGACGCUAAUACCGCAUACGUCCUACGGGAGAAAGCAGGGGACCUUCGGGCCUUGCGCUAUCAGAUGAGCCUAGGUCGGAUUAGCUAGUUGGUGAGGUAAUGGCUCACCAAGGCGACGAUCCGUAACUGGUCUGAGAGGAUGAUCAGUCACACUGGAACUGAGACACGGUCCAGACUCCUACGGGAGGCAGCAGUGGGGAAUAUUGGACAAUGGGCGAAAGCCUGAUCCAGCCAUGCCGCGUGUGUGAAGAAGGUCUUCGGAUUGUAAAGCACUUUAAGUUGGGAGGAAGGGCAGUAAAUUAAUACUUUGCUGUUUUGACGUACCGACAGAAUAAG
rnacentral:rRNA from 1 species